AUGAAGUCCUGGAAGAGUCACGUGCGGGCUGAGCUGUUUCUCAGAGACUGUAGGCAGAGAGAUCCUUUCUCUGGCCUUUUUGACAAGGUGUCCAGGCUAGAGGAGAUGCUGGCCUUUCACAUGAAACUCUGGCAAGACAUGGAAACAUGCAGUUCCAAAGAAAAAGGAAGCUCCAGAUGCCCAGAUGAAGGUGGCACCCUUUCUUUGAGAGUCAGUGAGCUGGAAUUUCUUAAUCAACAGCUCAAACAGGAAAUCUCAGAUCUGACCAGCAAUAUAUACCUGAAAGAGGCAGAGUUACAAUACUUUCACUCACUAGUUGCCCGCUACAGGACCGAAGCGGUUGUAUUGGCCAAGGGGGCUUUCUGUCUGAAGGCCAAUGUGGAGGAAUACGAGUAUCAGCUUGAGUGUCAAUCUAAGGAACUGACAGCACUGAGACUGGAGCACAGCUCACUGAGAGAAGAGCUGACUGCCGCAAACCUCCAGAACGAGCAGCUCCUCGAACGCUGGUUAGAGGAGAAGAAAGAGGAGGCUGAGAGGAUUAAUAAAUACAAUGCAAUACAAGAAAGGUGGCAAUGUUUGGCAGGUCGACUGAAGAAGCGGUCUCGUGUCAGAUCUCGUGUGCAGCCAACAGCAGCUCAGAAAUCAACCCCACAGAACGCCCUCCUUUCUUGA
ensembl:lncRNA